rnacentral:rRNA from 1 species
CCUACGGGUGGCAGCAGUGGGGAAUAUUGCACAAUGGGGGAAACCCUGAUGCAGCGACGCCGCGUGAGUGAAGAAGUAUCUCGGUACGUAAAGCUCUAUCAGCAGGGAAGAAAAUGACGGUACCUGACUAAGAAGCCCCGGCUAACUACGAGCCAGCAGCCGCGGUAAAACGGAGGGGGCAAGCGUUAUCCGGAUUUACUGGGUGUAAAGGGAGCGUAGACGGAAGCACAAGUCUGGCGUGAAAUCACGGGGCUUAACCCCGGAUGUGCUUUGGAAACUGUGCGGCUUGAGUGCAGGAGGGGUAAGCGGAAUUCCUAGUGUAGCGGUGAAAUGCGUAGAUAUUAGGAGGAACACCGGUGGCGAAGGCGGCUUACUGGACUGUAACUGACGUUGAUGUUCGAAAGCGUGGGGAGCAAACAGGAUUAGAUACCCGGGUAGUC